rnacentral:rRNA from 1 species
GCUCAGAUUGAACGCUAGCGGCAUGCUUAACACAUGCAAGUCGAACGGCAGCGCAAAGGGGCUCGCUCCUUGGCGGCGAGUGGCGAACGGGUGAGUAACGCGUAGGAAUCUGCCUUGUAGUGGGGGACAACUCGGGGAAACUCGAGCUAAUACCACAUAAUCUCUACGGAGCAAAGUGGGGGAUCGAAAGACCUCACGCUAUAAGAUGAGCCUGCGUCGGAUUAGCUAGUUGGUGGGGUAAUAGCCUACCAAGGCAACGAUCCGUAGCUGGUCUGAGAGGACGACCAGCCACACUGGGACUGAGACACGGCCCAGACUCCUACGGGAGGCAGCAGU